CAAAAAACAGCUUGUAGCCAACCCUGCUGGAUAAGGGUAUGGCUUAAAAUUUCAAAAUAAUUUCUCAAGUGAUGACUAAUCUGGAAUAGAGUAAUAUCGAAACUAGUUAGUUAUUUCAACACAAUUAAAUUUCAGUACCUAACCAACACACGGAGACAACUUCCUGCCACGAGCGUUUCGCAAGAUGAGAACAGAGACAAGGUAUUCACAGUUUGGAUGGUGGAUUGCUUAUCCAAUACUAUUCAGGACAUUCACAAGGACAGAGGGAAUACAGAUGCAAUCCCUGAUGUCCGGCAGAGGUGCUUUGGAGCGCACCACAGCUUUGCUUACAGAGAGAACAAGGCUAUCUGAUGGUUAAGGUCAGCUCUGCAAUUGUGGCAUUGUUGUUAUGCAUAUAGUAGGGCAGCUUAUAAAUGUGCACUACCAAAUGCUGAUAAUGUAAUGUUCCAUGGCAUGGCGGCCAUUUUCUAUAUUCUUCUUUAUCCUUGUUGAAGGUGAGCUGUUGGGGUAGGUUAAAAUGGCUGCCUGUUUAUGGGGUACCAUUUGUCCCUGCUCCAGGUUGCCAUUAGAUCAUGAUGUUGAGAUGAGACCUCCUAUUCGUAACAAAAAUAUCAUUUUCCAUAUACCCUUAGUUGAAUACUGCGCUAGAGGCAUCCCUAUUGCUUGUUCAACUACAUUACACCUACGUGUUUUAAUAUUGAAACUGUACUCAUUUUCAGUCUCUAUAUUUCAACUGACUUUCCUAAGCAUCACAUUCUACAUAUUACUCAGAAAAGGCAGGGAAGAACGAAUAACCUAAUGACAGAGGUUAGAUUUACAUAAUUGCACAGCAAUAAACCAUACAUUCCGCCCCAGGCCAUAAACACUAAUUUGACUUAACAUGUCCGUAUUGAAACAUAAAAAUGUGUAGUCACUAAACUUAUUAUUAAAGUGAUCAAGCACCCUUGUUUGAAGAAAAAAAAAAUCUUAAUAAAAUACAUAUUUUUGCUAAUGUUUUCUCUAGGUGCCACGAUUACAAUAUGGCUGGCAGCAGACAGAGAAGAGAAGCCUUACGUAUCGCUGUGAAAUACAGCCUCCUGCCUCCCCGUCUGACAGGCCUCUGUUGUCAUGGCAACAUGCUGUGGCGCAGCACUUAUUGGGAUUCAGAUUCAGACGGAUGGCGGGGCUGGUGGGCGACUGCAUUAGCCGUCCGGGGAUUUGGUGUGGUCCUUCCUGACAGCGAGCCCUGCCUGUCUGAGAGCCACAGCACCGCAGAGCUGCCAGGCUCCAACGCCACUGCAAUGGAGGCUCGCUGCCCUUUGUUUCCACUCUGGAUAUGUGUCAGUCGGUGUGUGUGAGUCUGCAGCAGAAAUGCAGCAGCCCGAUGGACUUUUUCUCUCUUCUGAUUCAGCCUUGAUGCUGAUUUCCCCUGGUUUGUGCCGUUUUCCUUGUAUUUUCAUCUGGAAAUUGCCCGCAUAUCUGCGGUUUCAGUUGAUUAUUUUCAAUGAGGGCUGAUAUGACCAAUUUUCUCUCAUCUUGAUGUGCUUUACUCUGUUCACACAUUGAGCGGAAAUUUUGAAUUUGUCAUCAACGGUUGUCUCUUUGCCACACCCUAGUUCACUGUGCCUUAGAAGAUCAUGCAAUAUGCAUUUCAAAACCUUAAAAAUUAAAAUCCCCUAAUUUCUGUGAACCACAAGACGAGAAAAAAAACUGUCUUAAAUACAAGCUGUCUAGUCAAACAAAGAGCGAAAAUGUCAUAGCAGAACCCACUCAAGCCACCUCAUGCAAUAUGUGUAUUUCCGUUAAAGAUAGGUUGUAGAUUGCGUUGAAACGUGCAGAACAUACCUUUGCGAAUCAGAUAAAAUGACACAGAAGGCGAACAGCUGACACAGAAGGCAAACAGCCAAAAACAUUACGCAGUGUCCUUCCACUAUAGUUCAUAUUCUCUACCAUACAGGAAAAUAACUUUUGUGAAAGGAAGGCGAAAGUAGACACUUUUUUUUUCUAGACUCGUCGCUGCUCAGUGGUGCUGUUGGAGGCAGAGCUUUCGCUGUUGUCUUUCCUCCUCUCCCUCUCUCAUUCCCUCCCUCUCUCUUUCUACGCUGAUCACUCCAGCUUCAACGUCCUUCGUCUCUCCCUAGGUCCUGGUCGAGUACUCCUGCUCUCUCCUCUUCCACCCAGUCCUGUCCUGGCUUGCCUCAGCUCUCAGACCAUUGACCACAGGAUUCCCACAUUGAAGUUUAAAAAUAGCUAGACUGGACUAUGGGUCUGUCUGCUGCCUCUGUGCUGCCCGGGCAACUGGAGCCCAGCGGCAUCUACUCUGCAGUCGCCAAGCAGGAAACGGCAACUUUAUUAAUCAUGGCUGAGGACGGUAAGAGAGAGCGGCUCAGUGCUACAUCACACACCACUAUGCCGUGCUGCACAGAUCACAGAGAAAACACCUAGGUUGCACGCCUGCUACCGGGGUUACGGCGAUACAACUUCAAACAAAGCGCACCCACAAUCACAUUUCUGCUCAACUUCUACACUGACACCAUUCAUACUGUAUCUCAUAGUCCAAAAGGGAAGCUGGAUCUGUAGCUCACUUUCAAACACAAGUCACAUCAAGCUCUCCAUCUGUCUCAUGCCUAUGCACACAUUCACUUUCUCUUUCUGUGCUACUGUGUACACUCAACCCUCUCUCGCUCUUUGUCAGCACAUCUGUGUGCAUUGCCUCAUGAACAUGAUAAGCCUACAAUGCUCUUGUUUGUAUAUAGCAGCAUGAUCAAUGAGAUAUCUGUGACUAUGUAUGGUUUAUUUCUCUCAUCUGCUUCUUCACUUUCAAAGUACCGUAAGAGAAAGUGAGAGAAAAAAGAAGAUGUAGAAGAGAGCAGGGGGAGAGGAGGACCGUCAUCUUUGUGCAGGCUGCUGAUGGAUGGGAACACAGAGGGAUGCCUCAGCACUGCAGAGUGCAGGAGGGAGGGGCUAAACCAGGCAGGCAGGGCACUGCUAGCCCCACCAGCUGCUGUAGAUGCACACAGUCGCUUUAUGCGUAUGAAGGCGGAGGGGUUUUAUUACAAGUGUUUUUGAAUUUGCAUACGUGUCUUAGCUUUCUUUCCGGGGUCAGGGAUGCGGCUUCUGCACCCGGGUGUGAAAUCCAUGUACAUUUUACUUGGUCUCACAGAACAGAUUGACCUCAUGAAAUGCAUGGGAGACAUUUGUUGUGCACUUUCUAUCAGUGUUCGUUCAGCUUAUCAUGAAAAUCCCCAUGCCUCUGUCCCCUCCUGCUCCCUGUGCUUUCUCUCUCUGCUCAUUACUGGUCACAUGGCCUUGUGGUUGUGAUCGAGACGCACACAAUUAACCACAAGCUCAGCCGUCUGCCAGCUAUUUCUAGUGCAGGCCUACCCGGCUUGAUUGUUGACAUUACCUGAGUGCAAUCAAGGCCUCUGUCUGCUUGCAUUGGCCUGGGUAAGCAGUACACCAGCCUGGAGCACGCCAGCCCUCACACUUCUUUCUGUAAGCCGCUGCACUUUGGCAUGACCUUGUUGCUGUGGCAACAUUUGAAGAAAACAGUGCUACCUUAACAGCAUGGUGGUAUGAAACAGUAAAGGUUGCGAACCUUACACGUUCUGGGAGGGAGCCUCUUAAAGCAAAAGGAAAUAUGAUUUGAGUGGCCACUAUCACGCCUUAUCUCAGUUUUUCCUCUGGUGUCUUUCCGUUCUCUUCCUUCAGUGUUAAGACAUUCCUGCUAUGUAUGGUUAAUGGUCUUGCCUGCUUCCUCCCCACUUUUCCUGUAUUUGUAGUCUUGUCUGCAAAAUCAAUUUCCACUGGUGCACUGCAGGGUAACUCAACAUCCCAAAACAAAUAAUAAGUAGCCCUCCUUUACCAUCCAUGCUCUUUGUUUUUUUACAGUUUUGAGAAUUGCAAAUUAAGUGCCUGCAGUACCUACUGUUUGUCUCAAUUACCACAACCCCUCUCCCACAGUAUUUGUUAGUACUUCGAAUGUCUUGCAAACAAAGAAUACAUAAAGAGCGGUUGAAAUUUGAACAAAUAAUUUGGACAAAUUUAUAUUGCUAUGAACACAUUAUUUGUGGAUAUCGGAGAAAUUAAAAAGAUCCAACCUGCUGAUUCAUUGUUGCCAUUCUCUGGGAUGAAUUCUUCUUUCACUCUUGAAUAAUUGCUUGGAGAUUCAUCCCUGUCAGACAGAUCACAUAUCAACAAUGUUUGAUGUGACUUUCCCAUUUACUUUUAACAUUUAAUUUAGUUUUAAUAGAAAUUGUCUAGAUAUUUUCCUUUCUUCUGACAUCCUCUAUUUUUUUUUGGCACACCCAUCCGUUAAAUGCAUUACAGCUGGGAUAUUUUCAAAACCACAACAAAAGAAGACAUGCCUUUACUGCCUCAGUCUGUCCGUAGCCACUUGCAGAGCCCCGCUAGAGACUAGACUAGAGGAACAUUGAUCGGCAGGGAAACAGAGCCCAUAGCGCAAGCCUGACUAGGCCUUGUUCUCUCUCAAAAUACACACACACACACACACUGCGUACAUAAACACUGAUCCUCAUUACUGUUGCGCUGGCACAUCCAACUCACACAUGCUCAGUAGCCGACUAACAUUCUUUCCUCACGGAUGGUCCUACAGGCCCUUUUGCUGUCGCUAUGAAAGUGAGCAGUGACUCUGGAGAGAGAAAGUGUAGGAAGGAGAGUUGUAGCUAGCCAGCUCCAGGCCUGCUCUUUCUCUGCCUAGCCAUAUAAUUUACCUUCUAACUUCUCCUCUGUUUACUCGUGGCUGGCUGCCUGUGUCUGGGCCCAGCCUGGGCACAGAUUCUCCCUCCAGUCCACUCCUGAGACGCUGCCCGUCUGGAGGCCGAUGAGGCGCUGACACUGCUGCGUCACUCCUGCUGCAUCACUGACCUACAAAGAGGAGAUGAAGAGGACAUGAGGAGGAGGGGUGGUGGGAAUGUGUUGCAAGGGAUAAAUGAAAGAGUGAGCUCUGCCCAAACGCAUAAAUAGAAAGUGAGGCUUCCGGCCUGGUCGACUGUCGCAGGCCUAGCCACUGUGGUAUUCAGGAAGUGGAGCCAGAGACAGAUCUUUUAUUGUUACGUAAUGCAUAUUUUUCCUCCCAGACCCAGCUGAGGAGGCGGUGUUUAGCGACUCUGACUCAGACUAAUAAUAGAGCUCAGUACCAUUGAGGGCCGUGUGUGUGCGGGAAUCUGAUCCAUUUCACCCCCCGAAGUGAGGUAUUUGGACACAAUUGAUUGGUUGAUUUUUUACAACUUAAAGACACGUUUUUAAACAACAAUACAUGCAUUAAAAAUUAUCUCCAUCGUGUCCUUUGUAACGUUUCAAUGUAAAGACAGAUUUUUUUUAUUAAUAAACAUGUUCUGUUUUA